ensembl:snRNA U4 U4 spliceosomal RNA
AGCUUGGCCAGUGGCAGUAUAGUAGCCAAUGAGGUUUAACCAAGGUGUGAUUAUUGCUAAUUGAAAACUUUUCCUAAAAAGGUACUGGUCCCAAGAGCAUUGCAAAGAGGUUCACCGAAGGGCAAUUUCAUGAAAGUUCUACCAAAAUAGAA